rnacentral:rRNA from 1 species
AUUGAACGCUGGCGGCAGGCCUAAUACAUGCAAGUCGAGCGGAGCUGCGGACGGGCGAGUAAUGCCUAGGAAUCUGCCUUGUAUGUGGGGAUAACGUCCGGAAACGGGCGCUAAUACCGUAUACUAUUAGAUGAGCCUAGGUCGUAUUAGCUAGUUGGUGGGGUAAAGGCCUACCAAGGCGACGAUCCGUAACUGGUCUGAGAGGCUGAUCAGUCACACUGGAACUGAGACACGGUCCAGACUCCUACGGGAGGCAGCAGUGGGGAAUCUUGUGCAAUGGGCGAAAGCCUGAUCCAGCCAUGCCGCGUGUGUGAAGAAGGUCUUCGGAUUGUAAAGCUCUUUAAGUUGGGAGGCGUUACCAACAGAAUAAGCACCGGCUAACUUCGUGCCAGCAGCCGCGGUAAUUC